rnacentral:rRNA from 1 species
UACGAAGGGGGCUAGCGUUGCUCGGAAUGACUGGGCGUAAAGGGCGCGUAGGCGGUUUGUUUCGUUAGGCGUGAAAUUCCUGGGCUCAACCUGGGGACUGCGCUUAAGACAAGCAGACUGGAGUGUGAAAGAGGGUCGUGGAAUUCCCAGUGUAGAGGUGAAAUUCGUAGAUAUUGGGAAGAACACCGGUGGGCGAAGGCGGCGACCUGGUUCAUUACUGACGCUGAGGCGCGAAAGCGUGGGGAGUAAACAGG